rnacentral:rRNA from 1 species
GUUCAACGGCCGCGGUAUCCUAACCGUGCGAAGGUAGCGUAAUCAUUUGUUCUUUAAAUGAGGACUAGUAUGAAUGGCACCACGAGGGUUAUACUGUCUCCCCUUUUUAAUCAGUGAAACUAAUCUCCCCAUGAAGAAGCGGGGAUAAACCUAUAAGACGAGAAGACCCUAUGGAGCUUUAAACUAUGCGACACUUGCACUAACCCAUACAAAUUUCAGAAAAAUCUCUUCUACACAUGUAAGAUGAUCACCAGUUUUAGGUUGGGGUGACCGCGGAGCAAAAAACAACCUCCACAUUGAAAGGAGUUUCACUCCUUAGCUUAGAGCCACACCUCCAUGCAUCAAUACAAUGACAUUAAUUGACCCAAUAGUUUGAUCAACGAACCAAGUUACCCUAGGGAUAACAGCGCAAUCCACUUCAAGAGCUCCUAUCGACAAGUGGGUUUACGACCUCGAUGUUGGAUCAGGGUAUCCUGGUGGUGUAGCCGCUACCAAAGGUUCGUUUGUUCAACGAUUAAAACCC